GACCGCUCCGUUAGCCUAGUGGUUAGAGCGUCCGCCUAGGAUACGGAAGGUCGUGGGUUAGUUACCCGGACUAGUCA